rnacentral:rRNA from 1 species
CAGUCGCCACGGGAAUACAGAGGGUGCAAGCGUUAAUCGGAAUUACUGGGCGUAAAGCGCGCGUAGGUGGUUCGCCAAGUUGGAUGUGAAAUCCCCGGGCUCAACCUGGGAACUGCAUCCAAAACUGGCGAGCUAGAGUAUGGUAGAGGGUGGUGGAAUUUCCUGUGUAGCGGUGAAACGCGUAGAUAUAGGAAGGAACAUCAGUGGCGAAGGCGACCACCUGGACUGAUACUGACACUGAGGUGCGAAAGCGUGGGGAGCAAACAGGAUUAGAUACCCCUGUAGUCCCUGUCUCUUAUAC